ACCUUUUUAGAUGGAUGUGAAGGAGGAAGAUGAUACAGAUAAACAGACAUUAAGAUGGUGACACAGAAGAUUUUCCCCUGCUUUGGUGAGACCUAGCAUGGCCGACACAGCAUUGCACUGCUGCCCCCUCCCUUUCCCAUCUGCGCAUGCGCGAGAUACAGGCUAAAGACUACGAAGGUGUUCUUGUAUCAUCUGUCAGUUUCUCUGCUAGUUGGUAGAGCCAGAAACACUGAAAACGUUUGCACUGUUAGUCCAUUAGUGAAAAAAAAAAAAAUCCUACUAUGCUCUUUCAGUUUUUUUGGACCUGCGUAAUUCUCGCCACGAAUCGAACAGAUUAGAAAUUCAGUGCCAUAUGUUCUUUUUACACGAAUUGAGAUGAUAACGACCAUGUGUAUGGCCCCUAUAGAGAAGAUACUCAAUCAAAGAUUGUCCACUUCACUACAGGUUACCAACUGAUUUAAAUUAUCUCAAUCCGGUCUAAUUAAUUUUUUAGCUUUCUUACAUAAGGUGACCUGAAUGUGACCUAAAGACUAUCGAGUAAUUUGUUUCGUCUUGAUCAAGAUCAUGCUCCGUUUCUUGAUUUAUGAAGCAUAUCUUAAAGAGAUUAUAGUAAUAAGAAAUGUUACUAGUUUCGAUUCUUGGCGUGGAUAAAAAUUUGAACUGAAAUGAACUGAAUUGAAGUUGAAGCAUCUGGUCAAAUCAGAGAUAAAAAAUGGGUAAUAGACCCAUGAUUACUGUCACAAAUAUAGACUACAGCCUUUGAUUAAUUGUCCGUAGACAACAUAUUGAUCGAAUCUAAAGCCUCUUUUUGAAUAUAUGACUGGCAGAUUUUCUUUGGAAGCUUUCUGCUAAACCCAGGCUCCUUGGUUUUACUUAUUUAUUUUUUUUCUCAGAUCUUGAUUUGAAGCCAGCUGUGAUGUAUUCCAUGUGACAAUUGUUAUCAAUUCAAAAGCUUCGUGGAGGUUUCAAUCCGUUUUGAACACAGGGUGCCCAUUGUUCAGUCUGUGUCUUGCAACCGAAGAGCGAUUCUUUUUAAAAUCUAAAAUUGGAUGCAAAACGUGAGCAAACUUCUUUUCGGUCCUUCGGCUUACAUUCGGCUCAAGUACUAUGUUUUAGAUGUACGUCCUGCAAUUUUGAGUUUUCAUUUCUUACUCUCAUAAGAGUUUUCGUUCUGAAGGCGACACAAUCAUAUAAUAAUGUUUCGUGACUCUGAUAAGUCGUUACGGAAAUUCCAAAAGUGCAAUAAUAGCUUAAUUUUUUUAGGAACCUCGUGCUGUUGUAACUAAUGAAAUUGAACAACGUUGCUUUUCAUGAGCAAGACUUUCAUCAGAAUAAAACACCGGCUCUUUAUCUCUUCGUUUAAAUUUGAUUUACGUCGCUUUCGUCUUUUAAUGCGCCAGUAGUAUUUCCCUGAGGAAAAAAAUUAACACCUUUCUUCGUUUGCAAUAAAUUCCUGACUCUUUUUGCCACGUAGUAUCGAUGGAUUUAUCUUUGGAUGAAUAUUUCUGGUAGAAAAUAUCUGAUAAGAACUCAGACAUGCCUCCUGGCACUCAGGGUUCGUGUUAUCCAAGUUUCUUCUGCGUUUAGCCGACACUUAUGUUUUACAAACACUCAUUACAUACCAAAGAGUGUCAUUUCUGAGGGGAAUUUUCUUGAUUCAACUUGUUUUGUUUUUUAUUCCUCUUUUUUUAGAGGCAGAAGCAAAUAGACUGUUUACAUAUCCUCAAUCUUCUUUUGCUUCUGAAAUCUUCUGAAAAUCAGUUCGUGAUUUUGAUUUCCUUUCUGCAACCGCUACUUAUGGUUCGAAUUUACCUCUGGUGGAAGCUUUCAAAAAGUUGACAUAAAAGCAUGGGAAAAAAUACCUCCCUGAUCUGGAGAAAUAUAAAGCUAUUUCUGUUCCACAUGAAUAAGCCUUUCUGUUUCUAGCUCUUUCCUUUUGAAAGAAUUCAAUGGGAACGUCUUGCAGCGAGGAAGCACGUUUCCUGAUAAUCGCUUAAAAGUAAGAUCCAUCUUUUGCAUCCUGAGAUCUGAAGGUAUCAGGGUCUCUCGAGGAAUAUUGACGAUAAUUCAUAGGUAGUGAAAUAUUUACAGAUAUUCGUUCGAUAUUCGCUUCCCACGUCUAUAUGACAGGUACCGCCGUGUAUUGACUUACUCUGCUUAGACACCAUAUGAGGCAAAAUUCAACAUGUGUUAAACCGAGCUGGGAAGCAUUCCCUCCCACAGAAACUUAAGGAAAAAUAAAGGGGUUUAGCUGUCAGAAGCUUCGUUAGUAGCCGGUAGCGCUCAAACAGAGAGCUUACUGGCGAGAGUAGCGAAAAAAAUGAUUGUGUGUGUGUGUGUUGUAGGACGGGAGAGCUAUCUUUUAGCUUAUCGUUCGAAGGCUUGACGUUUGAGAGUCUAUUUGGGAUCCCUAAAGUUUGCACCAGUUGGAAACUAACAAGCACAGGACUUUCUCUUAUGAAACACGCUUCCCAGCGUGACGUGGUGGGAGGCUAGCAGCGCUGAACCACAUCACGACAUAUUUAGACAGCCCUGCAUGAAUCACUUGAGUUUUGACUGCAACUAAGCCCUUAAAGAAAAGAAGGAAGGCUUUACCUACUUCCUCUAUUUUAUUGAAAUAUCUGCACGAGCAGGAUAUCUUAACCAGUUGAGGUUUUCCGCCUUGGUUAACGACUCUCGUAAACCAGUCGAAUGAUUCAGUGACGUGAGAGCAUCAAGCGGUAUGACCGCCUCACGAUAAGAUACUGGACUAUUUUAAGCGCUCUUUCAAAAGCCUAUUGUGUCUUUGAGUUUUGUCUUCGUUGAAAAAGCAAGUGUAAAACCGAUUGAUUUCCUUUGUAGAAAGAUAUUGCCUCAGUAAUUUUACAGUGUUUGCGGUCUUUGUCCGGAGCCGCGCUUGGACGAGCUACAAAAAACAUGUCGAAAUUAUUAGUUGCCUUUGAAAGAGCCUUUGGGCAGAAAUCAUGAAGAUUAAAAACACUAUAAUAAAGAAAAUCCUUUGUAGA